rnacentral:rRNA from 1 species
GAGGGAAACGUUCUGAUAAUACUGGAUAAGUUAGUAUAUCGCAUGAUAUGCAAAAUGAAAGCUACGGCACUAAAGGAGAGCUUUGCGUCCUAUUAGCUAGUUGGUAAGGUAAGAGCUUACCAAGGCGAUGAUAGGUAGCCGGCCUGAGAGGGUGGACGGCCACAAGGGGACUGAGAUACGGCCCUUACUCCUACGGGAGGCAGCAGGC